rnacentral:rRNA from 1 species
UACAGAGGGUGCAAGCGUUAAUCGGAAUUACUGGGCGUAAAGCGCACGUAGGUGGCUGGGUAAGUUGGAUGUGAAAUCCCCGGGCUUAACUUGGGAAUUGCAUUCAAGACUGCCUUGCUAGAGUGUGGAAGAGGGAAGCGGAAUUCCAGGUGUAGCGGUGAAAUGCGUAGAUAUGCGGAGGAACACCGAUGGCGAAGGCAAUCCCCUGGGCCUGCACUGACGCUCAUGCACGAAAGCGUGGGGAGCAAACAGG